AUGUUGUGAUGGGGAAAUUUUCUCAUAAACUCCUUGAACCUCUCCCAAGAGUCAUACAAAGAUUCACCAUCUGGUUGAUAGAAACUAAUGAUCUCCCAUCUCAAUUU